UUAGUGCGAGUUUUGUAUGGAGUUAGAACAGCGUAUCUACGUUUUCCGCUAGGGGCGCUGUUCCAACUCCAUACAAAUUUGAGUUA
rnacentral:pre_miRNA from 1 species